rnacentral:snoRNA from 1 species
UAUCGAAGGUCCCAGCAGGGAGGUUGAUUUACUCUUAACGAGUCCUCUCUAACACAUUUUAAUUACCUUCGAAGAUAUAUUUUGCCGAAUCGUAGGAUGCUCUAAAGUUUUCCAUUUUAGUGAUGUCUUGAAAUCUCGGCUAUAAUCUA